rnacentral:lncRNA from 13 species
AAAUAUGUAGAUAGAUAAAGCCAACUGAACAUACUAAAUUUGAUAAUAAAAACUUAUAUAUUACCUGUGCUUCACAGGCGGAGAAGUGUAUCACAUCCGCUUUAGCCAGUUCACUCAUGUCACAAGCAGUCCAAGUAUUCCCAUUGAUGCAAUGCCUGCAAAGCCCAUUUGAUAGCUGGGUUAAUGUUUUAGCAGUUUGUUUUGAGUGAAUUGCCCCAAACUGGGCCAAGAGACACUUCAGAGACAGAGUCCAAGAAGUGGGUAUUUGCUUUAUUUGGUGUGCCGGGUGUGGGGGAUUACUCCUCCAAGCGCACACACUGGCACUUACUACAACACAAUAUUAUGGGUAAAAUUCAUGAAUUGUCAUCACAUUCCUUGGGAUAGGAGUGGUUAUACAAAUCAGUUCUCGGAAGUCAUUAAUAUCAUUAGCAUAUGUGUCACACAUGGGUGGUGUGUCCUGGUGGUCGCACUGAGGAAGGCUCCUCUUCUUCCUCGGGAGUCUUUCUGAUGAAGGACUGGAAAAGGAAGUCAACUGAUGUCAUCAUCAUCAGUAUUUCUUGAGUGCCUCUGCAAUGCUGCUCCGCUCAGGCCGUGAAAAGCCAUAUCAAAUGCCUCUCCAUGGAAGCCAGUCUGUGGAGAAGCAAUUACUGCUUACAAAUAUGAGAACAGCUCCUGGAAAGCCAGUGUUCAGCCUGCGAGAAACAGUGAAAUGUUACAUACUAACUGAAGACUCAAAAACAGUGCAUUUUGACAUAGAUGAAGAAGGUCAUCAUGAAAUAUCUACCAAGGAUUCACAAUCCCAUGAAGAUUCAAAAAAUUUGGUGAUCCUCACACAGAGAUCAAAGCUUAAUGAAUUUGUUCUGUUGUGCAAGGGUAAGAAGCAUCUGUCUCUGAAGGUCUUAAAAGCAUCCUGCUCAGAGCCAGAUUAUCCUUCAAUGGAGAGAUGCAAUAUGAAAACAUGCAACCAUGAAGAUCCUGACUUUAAACAGCUGAGUGAAGAUAAUAACUUUUUCAUCAUGCAUUACCAAGGAGAUUCAGUGCAGUUCCAAUGCUAUGAAGAUACAAGUUACUAUCUGUGUGUGAACGACGACUCACUUGAUAUUCGCAAGCUGGAAAACAAAGAACCCAAUGAGGACAAAAAGUUUUACUUCAGGGUGUCAUAUUUACAAGAAAAGUAA